ensembl:snRNA U6 U6 spliceosomal RNA
GUGCUCUCCUCAGCAGCACAUAUAUAAAAUUGGAACAAUACAGAGUAGAUUAACAUGGUGCCUGAGCAAGAAUGCCACACAAAUUUGUGAAUUGUUCCAAAUAAAA